rnacentral:rRNA from 1 species
ACUGGGAUUCCCUGAGUAGCGGCGAGCGAAGAGGGAAGAGUCCAGCGCCGAAUUGCGCGCUUGCUUAGGCGUCGCAAAGUGUGGCGUUCGGGAGGAAGCGUGCCCGGAGCGGUACCCUGGAGCAAGUCCCCCUGACCGGGGCGCUUACCCAGAGGCGGUGCGAGGCCGAUAGCUCGUGGGUCUCUCCGGGAUGCGACCUCCGUGGAGUCGGGUUGCUUGGGAGUGCAACCCCAAUGGGGCGGUAAACUCCACCUAAGGCUGAAUACGACCGCGAGACCGAUAGCAAACAAGUACCGUGAGGGAAAGUUGCAAAGCACUUUGAAGAGAGAGUUCAAGAGUACGUGAAACUGCUCAGGGGCAAACGGAUGGGCCCUCGAAAUCGGUGGGCGGGGGAUUCAGUGGGAAGCGGCGGAAAGCCGUCGGUGGCGGUACCCGUUUUGCGGGACUCGCUCCGGCGGCCGCUCCUCCGUCCGGCUCCUACGCAUUUCCACCCGCCCCGAGGACGCCGCAGCCGGUCGGGUAGCUGCGCGAGUCUGGCAUAAGGAGGAGCGAGGAAGGUGUCCGGCGGCGCGUCCGUCCGCAAGGGCGGGUUCGUCGUCGGUCGUUAUCCAGCUGCUCCGUGUCGAGACACCCGACCGAGGUCGAGGGGUCCGAGUUAGGACCCGGCCGCACCCUCUUUUUAGAGCGGGCGCUCCCGCAGGCUGGUGGUCCCGUUCGGUCGUCACUCCCCGAGUGGACCGAGGAGGGUUUCCGCCGCCGUUGGUGCGGAAGCGACCCGCGCACGGGUCGCAGGCGGCUGCGGCGAGUAGGUNNNNNNNNNNNNNGACCCGUCUUGAAACACGGACCAAGGAGUCUAACAUGUGCGCGAGUCACGGGGUCUUGUUCAGGCCCGUGGUCGCAGUGAAAGUGAAGGGCGCCGAUGAUCGGUGGCCGCGUUGGGACUCUCCGCCGUCUCGGUCGGAGAAGCACCAACGACCCGUCCUGUCCGCCUCGCGCGGUUGGGCGGAGUGUGAGCGUACACGUUGGGACCCGAAAGAUGGUGAACUAUUCCUGGGCAGGACGAAGCCAGAGGAAACUCUGGUGGAGGUCCGUAGCGGUUCUGACGUGCAAAUCGAUCGUCAGACCUAGGUAUAGGGGCGAUAGACUAAUCGAACCAUCUAGUAGCUGGUUCCCUCCGAAGUUUCCCUCAGGAUAGCUGGCGCUCGGAGGAAUCAGUCUCAUGCGGUAAAGCGAAUGAUUAGAGGCCUUGGGGCCGAAACGACCUCAACCUAUUCUCAAACUUUAAAUGGGUGAGAAGUCCGGCUUGCGUGAAGGAAGCCCGGACGACGAGGAUGAGAGCGCCCAGUGGGCCACUUUUGGUAAGCAGAACUGGCGCUGUGGG